rnacentral:snoRNA from 1 species
AAGACCUUACUUCAUAGGAUCAUUUCUAUAGUAAGCUCUUCACGAGACUUUCACACUAUGUGAGUCCUCACAAGCCACGUUGAUGAGAUGUGGCGCGGUGCCCUGAGCGUGAGGCGGGCGGUGGUAGACCCACCACCAGCCCUCGAUGAUCGUUCGCUCCCCUUUGCGGGGGAGAGUGGGGUACUGUCGCUGUCUGAGUGGU